rnacentral:rRNA from 1 species
CAGGGGGAUAGUCCUUCGAAAGGAGGUUGAAUACCGCAUGUGCUCAGGGGUGUCAUGUUCCUGAGCAAAGGUGGCCUCUGCGUGCAAGCUGUCGGCCUGUGACGGGGGUGCGUCCUAUUAGCUAGCUGGUGGGGUAAUGGCCUACCAGGGCGACGAUGGGUAGCUGGUCUGAGAGGAUGAUCAGCCACACUGGGACUGCGACACGGCCCAG